CCUGGCUCAGGAUGAACGCUGGCGGCGUGCCUAAUACAUGCAAGUCGAGCGAUGAGGCUCCUUCGGGAGUACAUCAGCGGCGAACGGGUGAGUAACACGUGGGUGACUUGCCCCGAAGAUGGGGAUAACCUCUGGAAACGGGGGCUAAUACCCAAUGUGCUCGGUGAUUCGGUUCAUCGAGUAAAGCUCCGGCGCUUCGGGAGAGGCCUGCGGCCCAUCAGCUAGUUGGUAGGGUAACGGCCUACCAAGGCAGAGACGGGUAGGGGGCGUGAGAGCGCGGACCCCCACACUGGCACUGAGAUACGGGCCAGACUCCUACGGGAGGCAGCAGUAAGGGAUAUUGCGCAAUGGACGAAAGUCAGACGCAGCGACGCCGCGUGGGCGAUGAAGGCCUUCGGGUUGUAAAGCCCUUUUAUGGGGGAAGAGAAAAAGGACGGUACCCCAGGAAUAAGUCCCGGCUAACUACGUGCCAGCAGCCGCGGUAAAACGUAGGGGACAAGCGUUAUCCGGAUUCACUGGGCGUAAAGAGCGUUGAGGCGGUUCCGUAAGUUGGGCGUGAAAGCUCCGGGCUUAACUCGGAGAUGUCGUUCAAUACUGCGGGGCUUGAGGACAGCAGAGGAAGGUGGAAUUCCCGGUGUAGUGGUGAAAUGCGUAGAUAUCGGGAGGAACACCCGUGGCGAAGGCGGCCUUCUGGGCUGUUCCUGACGCUGAAGGCGAAAGCUAGGGGAGCGAACGGGAUUAGAUACCCCGGUAGUCCUAGCUGUAAACGAUGGAUGCUGGGUGUGGGGGGUGUAAAUUCCCUCUGUGCCGAAGCAAACGCGUUAAGCAUCCCGCCUGGGGACUACGGCCGCAAGGCUAAAACUCAAACGAAUUGACGGGGGCCCGCACAAGCAGCGGAGCGUGUGGUUUAAUUCGAUGCUACACGAAGAACCUUACCUGGGUUUGACAUGCACGUGGUAGGGAACCGAAAGGGGACUGACCUU
rnacentral:rRNA from 1 species